ensembl:processed_transcript
GGGCCAUGGCACACCAGCCCAGGAAGACCAGGUUCUUGUUGGUUUUGGCAACUUUGCUGCCAUGUCCUUCAAGGACCUUUAUGAGGCAACGGACCGUGACAGAAAAGGAUUUGUCAAGUGGGUAAAAAGGCAGAGUUCCAGACCUGGCACAAAGAUGGAACUUUUCCAGAAAUAUAUAAGGAGAAGAGAUGCUGAGAUGCUGCCAGGAUCAGCACCUCCAGUGGCUGCCUCCAGCUCAGCUCCUGAGGAAGAACCAUCUGAUGAAGCUCUGCUUGCCGUAGUGUCACACAUGGAUGCUUCAGCUUUCAGCUGGAUGGUUUUGGAAGCAGUAAGGUAGGAGGUGUACUACACCUUCUGAUCAUCGGUAGCUAACCUGGCUUUUUCUAACCUUUAUCUUUUUCUGCUUUUUACCAAAUAUAAUGACAGCUUUUUUCUGUCUUAGGCUUUUUUCCUCACAAAUUGCUUUUUUUCACCACCGACCGCCGCCAUUUUUCAUCCCGCUCAACAUUAAACCGCUAACUUUUUAUCAUCAC